GACGAACGCUGGCGGCGUGCUUAACACAUGCAAGUCGAACGGAAAGGCCCUGCUUUUGUGGGGUGCUCGAGUGGCGAACGGGUGAGUAACACGUGAGUAACCUGCCCUUGACUUUGGGAUAACUUCAGGAAACUGGGGCUAAUACCGGAUAGGAGCUCCUGCUGCAUGGUGGGGGUUGGAAAGUUUCGGCGGUUGGGGAUGGACUCGCGGCUUAUCAGCUUGUUGGUGGGGUAGUGGCUUACCAAGGCUUUGACGGGUAGCCGGCCUGAGAGGGUGACCGGCCACAUUGAGUCAGAGAUACGGCCCGGACUCAUGCGGGAGGAAAGAGUGGGGAAUAUUACACAAUGGGCGGAGGCGUGAUGCAGCAACGCCGCGUGCGGGAUGACGGCCUUCGGGUUGUAAACCGCUUUCGCCUGUAGCGAGGCGUGAGUGACGGUAAUGGGUAAAAAGGCACCGGCAAACUACGU
rnacentral:rRNA from 1 species